rnacentral:rRNA from 1 species
UGAACGCUAGCGGGAUGCCUUACACAUGCAAGUCGAACGGCAGCACGGACUUCGGUCUGGUGGCGAGUGGCGAACGGGUGAGUAAUGUAUCGGAACGUGCCUAGUAGCGGGGGAUAACUACGCGAAAGCGUAGCUAAUACCGCAUACGCCCUACGGGGGAAAGCAGGGGAUCGCAAGACCUUGCACUAUUAGAGCGGCCGAUAUCGGAUUAGCUAGUUGGUGGGGUAACGGCUCACCAAGGCGACGAUCCGUAGCUGGUUUGAGAGGACGACCAGCCACACUGGGACUGAGACACGGCCCAGACUCCUACGGGAGGCAGCAGUGGGGAAUAUUGGACAAUGGGCGAAAGCCUGAUCCAGCAAUACCGCGUGAAUGAUGAAGGCCUUAGGGUUGUAAAGCACUUUUGGCAGGAAAGAAACGUCAUGGGUUAAUACCCCGUGAAACUGACGGUACCUGCAGAAUAAGCACCGGCUAACUAC